CGUAGGUCUGGGACGACAGCCACGGUAUUAAUGGGGGUUGAAGCGGUGAUCUGAAUUACGGGGCGUAAGGCGUGAGCAGGCUGCUUAGUAAGUCAGAUGUGAAAUCCCUAGGCUCAACCUAGGAACUGCAUUUGAAACUAGUAAACUAGAGUAUCGUAGAUGGAGGUAGAAGUCCGGGUGUAGCGGUGAAAUGCGUAGAUAUCUGGAGGAAUACCAGUGGCGAAGGCGACCUCCUGGACGAAAACUGACGCUCAAGCACGAAAGCAUGGGGAGCAAACAGGAUUAGAUACCCCAGUAGUC
rnacentral:rRNA from 1 species